rnacentral:rRNA from 1 species
AUCUGGGCGGCGGAAUUCAAGACGGCUGGCGGGUUUCGCGCUCGUUCGGCCGUUUGAUAUUUCCGUCGCCGUGUCAGACGUCGCGACCUGUUUGUCGUCGGUCCUUGCUCGGAGGAAUUGCGAUCGAGUUCGUUGCGGGCGCGUUUCGGCGUGCUUCGCGGCGAAGACGCGACUCUCUGGCCGACGACGGACAGUAAGCAACGGUGUCUGGCGCCGUGUCUCGCACUCGGCGUCGGUGCCGGUCAGCGACGAUUUCUUCGGGCCUCUUUCCGACCCGUCUUGAAACACGGACCAAGGAGUCUAACAUGCGCGCGAGUCGCGGGGUUUCGAGCGUACCACGGUGCGCUCGUUACUUCCGAAACCCGUACGUUGAAGGCGUAAUGAAAGUGAAUAGGGAAGAUGGCGUUCCGAGACCACGUACCGUGAUCGAGUAUCGCGGCCGGACGUCCGCACUCCCGGGGCGUCUCAAUGGUUCGCCACGGAUGCGGACGAUCGUCUUUCGGGACGGUGGUCGGUCUGUGGCGGUCCGA